rnacentral:rRNA from 1 species
AUUGAACGCUGGCGGAAUGCUUUACACAUGCAAGUCGAACGGCAGCAUGACCUAGCUUGCUAGGUUGAUGGCGAGUGGCGAACGGGUGAGUAAUGCAUCGGAACGUGCCUAGUAGUGGGGGAUAACUUAGCGAAAGUUAAGCUAAUACCGCAUACGACCUGAGGGUGAAAGCGGGGGACCUGAGAGGGCCUCGCGCUACUAGAGCGGCCGAUGUCCGAUUAGCUAGUUGGUGAGGUAAAGGCUCACCAAGGCGACGAUCGGUAGCUGGUCUGAGAGGAUGAUCAGCCACACUGGGACUGAGACAAGGCCCAGACUCCUACGGGAGGCAGCAGUGGGGAAUUUUGGACAAUGGGCGAAAGCCUGAUCCAGCCAUUCCGCGUGGGUGAAGAAGGCCUUAGGGUUGUAAAGCUCUUUUGUUAGGGAAGAAAAGUCAGAUGCUAAUAUCAUAUGACGAUGACGGUACCUAAAGAAUAAGCACCGGCUAACUACGUGCCAGCAGCCGCCGUA